UCAUUCAUUCAAAAAAUUGAUAACUGUUUUGAAAUAAGAUUCUUGGAGAUGAUGGAAUUUCAAACCACAUUAUUAUCAAUGGCAUUGACCAUAAUGACAGUAGCCGCUUAUACACCUUCAGAAAAGCAUUUAGGUAUACAUGGAGUGAACAAGGUUUUAAAGCUUGAAAAUU